AUGGACUCUGCAUGGGGCAUUGCUGAAGUUUCGGAUCGGUUUCUUCUGCUGUGGAUUAGAGGGUGGCUUCCACACCUCGGUGGCUUUGUGCUCUGAAGAGGGCUGCAGAGCCUUUUGUCUUUGGAUGCUAUGGAUGGGGAGAGUUCUUACACACAGAUGUGUGUCUGAGUGCCUGUCAGCCUCAGUCCCUGUGUGUAGGGCUGCUCUUCAGGGGGAAGGAACCUUGUUGAUGAUGGACUCUGGUGGUAGGGAAGAGAAGAUGGACGUGGAUCUAGUGUGCGGCAUUCCUCAGCAGGAGCUCUACUUGCUCCCUACCCAGCCCGUGCUUGAUGCCUACAUUUUCUGUAUUCAAGGCGUCAUUCUGAUCUCACAGGAAGUCCUUCCUAGGGCCAACUCCUGGAAGGGUUGGGUGAGUAGCUGUCAACAGGAAGGGAAGUGGCCAAAGAUUUAUCAAAUGAAGAAAACUACUUUGUGUGUUGUUUAAUGGGUGCCAAGUUCCGGGCAGUUUGCUGUUUGAACUAGAGGACGGGUGGAGAUGAUGUUGGAAGGUCACAGUUCUAUGUUUCAGAGUGAGACUGGGCAUGUAGUGGCCCGCUAGAACCCCAGGCAGGUUGGUGAAGCACACAUUCUUCUCAGCUUACUGCCUGCCUGUGUUUAGCUUAUGAGAGAGGAAGGGAAGCCUUAUCCUACUGCUGCUGCUGAUUCUGAGCUGGCACAGGUGCCCUUGUACUCCCAAGUGUCCCUGCAGAGUGAUGGGUGCCCUAUGUGAUACUUGAUUUUCAGUAAAGGCACCAGAUUUGGGGACAGGUCCAGGCCAAGCUUUUCCUUGAGUACAGGUGUCAAGCUUUGCCUGUGCUGAAACACUAAACCGAGUGCUUCAGAGCCAUGCAGAGGACCAGCCCUGUGGCCUAGAUCAGGAAGGUGGGGAGAACUGUACGUGCGUCUGAGCUGGCAGCAAGAGCCAGCAGGGAAGGACAAGAGCUGGCCCUGGGAAGGAAGGAGAACAGGAUGCCAACUGUCCCCAGCCCUGGUUUUUGCUUGCUUUCUGCAGGGAGAUUUCUGUGCUGAAUCAGGCCAGGACCAUGUGGCUUGGCCGGCAGGACCCUGAUGCCCGGAGCUGGACUUUGUGCUGCUUUGGGGAAGAUAGCAUUAAGUAGAUUAUCUUAAAGUAUCUUCUUAGCCUGGACCCAUCAAACUCUGAUGAUGAAGGACCCAGUGUGUGUGUGUGUGUGUGUGUGUGUGUGUGUGUGUGUGUGUAUCUGUGGUGUGUGUGUGUGUGUGUGUGUGUGUGUAUCUGUGUCGUGUGUGUGUGUGUUCAGUCUAACCAGAGACACAGCACUAAUGACAGCAGACACAACUGUCUCCCUUCCCUCAGCAGAAAGCAAGUCUGGAAGCCAGCCCAGAAUCAUUCUUCCGUUUAUUUUCUUCCCUAACUCCAGCUUGUCUUCCUAACCUUCAGUGAUAGAUACAUUAUUACGAUAAUAGCCUUCUAUUCUUUGGGAAAGAAAGGCAAUUUAAAUGUAAAUAUGGAUAUUCAUGCCUUGGUGUGUGGGAACAGACAGUAUUUGACACCUUUUUUCUAGUGCAGCCAGGUCUGGGAAGUGGCAAGGCAGGCUGUCCAAGUGUGGCAGGCUGGCCUGGUGUUUGCUGUGGCUGACUGGCUGAUGGGAGUCACAAGAAACAUAAUAUCCUGUUGCUGCUGGCCUGGAUUUACUGUUGUCAUGGUGACUGUAUAAUUCAUCCUGCUAGCUGGUAGAGCAGAGAGGUGUGGCCAGUCUCAGUGAGGAUGGACAGGUGGCCGUGGGCAGGGUGUGGUUUCAUUCACCGCUCCUUUUCUUGGGAUAAGGUGGGCACGCACAAUCUAUUAGCUCAUCGUGUAAAGAUUAUAGUAUUUUAAAUGAAACAAAAAACAAUUAAAAUGCCUGGAUGGAAUGAGAUAAUUUAUAAAGAAUGGGGAGAGUUAAACAUAGUUGAUUUAUACCUCUUUCCUUAAAAAGAAGAAAAGCAAAGGGAACUGAAAGGCUGGGAUCUGAGCUCAGCAGCAGAGACCUGCUUCAGAUGCACAAGGCUCUGGGUUUGAUUUUCAGCAUUACGAAAACAAACAAAUAAACAAACACACCCACACAAGCACCACAGCAACAAAACAGACAUUAGCAGGAAUCUGGGGAUCUAGAGGGGAUGUGAAAGGGCUCUGUGCUGGGGAGAGAGUAUGGCAGCUCAUUAGAAGUUAAGUAAGGGUAUGGUUUGGUAAUCCUGCUUGUGAGCAUACAUCCAAAAGAACUGUCUUGUGAGCAUUUACUCCAAAGAACUCCCAGCAAAGGCCCGAAGAAGUAUGUACACACCUCUGGCCACUACAGACUUGCCAUUAAUAUCCCCCAAAUGAAAACAGUCAAGAGUCUGUCCCUUGGUGCCAGUAGGGCUAUCGCUGACACACAGACAUGGUGCUCUGUAAUAAGCCAGUCGUGGGAAGAGAAAAACGACGAGCAAUUUUUACCUUCCCUGACUCUUAGAGUACUAGGUUCAUGGCGGGAGUCGGCAUCUGGAGGUGGGAGCUGUGGAGUUGUCAGCUCUUGCAGAGCAUCCGUUUAGGAGAUGAGAAAGUUCUAGAGAUGGCUUGUGUUGACGACUACGUUAGUGGUUCUCGGUGCCACUGACCCUUGAACAUGGUUGGGUUGGUAAACGUCACAGCACAAGCGUAUUAUUACCAACGUGUACGGCAGCUCUUUUUAUUGUUAUGGUAAAAUAAUAGAAAAGGAAGCUUACUUUGGCUUGUGGUUUUAGGGGCUUUUGGAUCACGUUAGUGGUUCUCAACUUGUCAGUCGUAACUCCAGGAUAUUUUCAUCACAAUUCAUAAUGGUGUCAAAAUUUCAUUUAUGGUAUAAAUAAUUCUGUGGUUAGGGCGUCACCAUAAACUGAGGAAGUGUAUUAAAGGGUUUGUACAUUAGGAAAAUUGGGAACCAAUGAUCCACGGUCAGCUGUCUCCACUCCUUUUGGCACAAGGGAUGCAGAACAUGAAGGGAAGAGAGUACAGGGGAGCAAAGCUGGCUACUUCACAGGGGAUGGGAAACUGAAGGAUUUGGAACACGGUGCACAUGUCAAAGCUGACCCAGGAGCCAUUUCCCACCAAGCCCCUCAUUUUUAUUUCUACCGCCUCUCAAUAAUGCCAUGAAAUUACAAAUUUUAUCUACAUUGAUCAACUCAUUGAUUAGGUCAGAGUCCUUGGGAUCCAAACAUUUCUCAGCGAUAGCCUCUAUCACGUGGGACUAAUCUUAAUCCCAUGGGUGUGUUGGGUGACACUGUGCAAACCACAAUCUCCAACAAUCAAAAGAACUGAGAAAUAUAAACUCCGAAACAUUAUUAGACCAUUAAAGGAAAAACUGAAAGUGUUCUGAGUAUUUUGCCAUCCUGGAGUGGGCUUCGGAAAAUGGAGUUUAGAUUAGACACAUGGUAUUAUUCCUCAGCGUGAGGAAAAUCAGCUUCGAAAGACUUGGAAGUGGGUCUUCUUCCAGAACUUGUAACUUUGAAUGGUGCACAUUCAGAAACUAGACAGUACGUCCUAAAAAGGAAUUCCAAGGGCAUGAAACAGUUAAAGCAAAAUUGGAAAGAUUGAAAAACAAUGCUCAUGUCAUAUCAAUGGCUCACUGAAGUGUCUCAGGGCUCUAGAUAUGCAUUCUAAGAAAGUACUCCACAGCCCAAAGUAUUAAAGGAAUCUUCCAGCACACAUAAUUCUUUACAGUGAUGGCUAUGCUAAUUCUAGACAAUCUAGUGGAUGUACCAUGACUAUUAAAAUAAGAACAAUUUUUAAGAAAAGGUUACUGUUUACAUACGUAUGCGUGUUUUACCUGCAUGUAUGUCUGUGCAGUGCAUACAUGCAGUGCCCACAGAGACGAGAAGAGGGUGAUGGAUCCCCCAAGGACAGGAGUUACAGACUGUUGUGAACCACCACAGGGGCUGGGAAACAAACUCAGGUCCUCUGGAAGAGCAGUGGGUGCUUUUAAAUACUUUGCCAUCUCUGCAGCCCCAGACAAUACUUUUAUUUUUUAAAAAUGUAUAGUUACUUUUCUUGUUGCUGUGCCCAAACAUCUGACAAGAAGAAAGUAGGUGAUGAAGGGUUUAACAUUGUGGCUCUCCCUUUAAAGUACAUCAUGACAUCAUCAUUACAUGAAGUGGCUGGUCCCCGUCCCACAGAACAGAGCUGCCUAAAGUCAGGGUAGGUCUUCCUACCUCAGUUAGCCUCACCUAGAAACUCCAUCACAGAUGUGCCCAGAAGUUUGCUUUAUAGGUGAUUGUAGAUCUGGUUGUUGGCAGUCAGUAUUUACCAUGCACUUCUGUUCAAUCCAUGAUUCAAAUAUUAGGCAGGCAUUAGCAACAGACAGCACAGAGUGCAGCACUCUAAGGGGGACCCAUUCAAUAUGGUGACGGCUGUGCAGACGGGAUGGGAAGGGCUUAGAGGCACGGGCCGAGCUCCGGAUCCUUAUCUGGGUAGUCAGUUACUUUCCUCGUAUGUUUUCAUUCCUUUCAAAUGUUUUCUUACAGACAUUUAUGGUUAUGGUGCUUAAGAUUCUAAGGAAGAGUAAUUGUGAUAAAAAUAAUAUAUUAACAGGUACACAGAUGCGGUCCAUUUGGUGACCUUCGAGCCUGCCCCUUCUAACCAGCUACCUAAUACCUGAGUGUUCAACACAAACAGUUAGCAAUAUGUGGUUCCACUUUAUGGGUACAGAACCAGCAGGCACUUCCCUCUCAAUAGUCAGGGUACUUAAAAACGAAUAGCCCUGUGCUCACUUUGGCAGGGCUAAAAUUCAAAUGGCACAGAGAAGAUUAGCAUGGUUCCUGUGCUAACAUGAAGCUCUCCAUGCUUUAAAAAAAGAAAAGAGGAGAAAACAGCCGCCUCCUCCCAGUGGCCCUGUGCCACACAGGUGCUGGAAAUGCCUGGCUCGUUGAGUGGAGGGCGUUGGAAAAUUCCAUCCAAAAGGUCACACUGACUGUUGGGCCAUGGCUGGCUUUUACUUCAUUUGUAUUCUGCUCCAGCAAGCGGGGAGGGCCCUCAGCUGAAGAAGGUAUUUACUGCAAAAGGCUGAGUGAGUCAUCAAAGGAGUGUGAAGGGAGAGAGGGAACUGGAAAAAACUGCCUGGAGAUUAACACCAAACAAGACAGCUAGCAGAGGAAGACUGGAAGUCCUCCUGACCCUGAGAAACAGAGCGUGCACUGCACACAGCUCUAGAAAUCUGUUGGACGAGAAAGUGGGGAGCCUAUAGAAGACAAUGCCCACUUGCAUUCUUCAAGUACUUAUUUAUUAAUUCAGUCAUUUAUUAUGCUGAAUAAACUAUUUCUAUUCCAGGACUCACUUAAAAGGGCAUGACCUCUCCCCCUCUCCCCAAUCUUCCCUCCUGUUGGCUGACGGGAUUUCUACCUGAAGUGUACUGUGUUUUCUCUUAAAUUCUAAUAAAAUUGUCCACAAGUUUCCUUUUGAGUCUGUUUCUAACUUCUUUUAUUUAUUUCUUCUUCUUCUUUUUUUUUCCAGAGCUGGGGACCGAACCCAGGGCCUUGCGCUUGCUAGGCAAGCGCUCUACCACUGAGCCAAAUCCCCAACCCCUCUAACUUCUUUUAUUAAUGAAGUCAAGAAUACCCAAAGACACAUGUCAUUUCCCUGAUAACAAAUGUCUGUGUACCUGGGUAGAAGAAACUAUUUCUUUUGUCAUUGUUAAUGAAAAGACACAGCUCUCACCUUGGGAUAAGAGAUAGUUUUUUUUUUUUUUUUUGGAAUGUAAUUUAAAGGUCACAGCGAGGAACACAGAUUUACAUUACCCCGAACUCUACAUGGUUUUACAGAACAAAGACAGUUAUAAAGUAAGGCCAGUUUAAAAUACACUGGUGGUUUAUAGUGAGGCAUUUACAGCCAGAUGGGGGAGGUGUUUCUAUAGGCCUCAGAUGCUAUCUGAUGUCAUUCUUAGCUUUUGAGUCGGUGGAAGCUGGUGAUACAUUAAUAGAUUUCAAAGAUGUGCAUAUUAUCAAAGGAAGGUAAGGCAUAGAAGUGAGCAAGAACUGGCUGUUGUAGGGUAAAGCUAGCCCACGGUUAAUUAGCCCCUGGGCCUGUAAGUUUUAACCUCUCUACAUCACUGCAGCUCUGAUCAGCCCGUCUUUACAGACACAACUUCUUUCCAGGAAUUCUUGUUGAUGUCACCCACCCCUGGGUCAUGGCUGAAACCAUUGUGCUAGGGGGAAAGUAAACGCGUGUGUUUAAUGUUAGUUUUACCUGGCCCAAGAGCCUUCAGAAGUGAAUACAGGGACAGGAAGUGCUCUAUUUCAUGGCAGGACCAAAGGGUUCUGAGCUCCGGUUUCCAAGAUGCAGGGUUUAUAAUCUACUGCCUUGGUUUUAAAAGAAAAUUAGGAAACAUGAUUGGUUGAGGAAGGUGCAUUUGGGAAACAUUGUUUCUUGAACACUGCAGUUUGUAGAAAGCCUCGAGACAAAGGCCAGAGAUAGUGCCUUUCUGGGAAGGAGAUAAAAGAGGGAGGAAGCUUAGAAACCAGGGGAAGAAGGGUCAAGAGUAAGCAGAGCACAGUUGUUAUUGGAAAUUCUAGAGUCAGGGGUUGGUCAGUGCCAGUAGAGAGGAUCACCCAUUCCCAAAAAACACGUGGAGAAGGCAAGUCUGGUGGUUAAUAUUCGUUGCAAACUGAAAAGGAUUUAGAAUCCCCAUGGAAACACAACCGUGUCUAUGAGGAUCGUUUCAGAAAAGUUUAACUGAAGGCAGACUGGCUCUGAAUGUGCACGGCACCAUUCCUUGGGCUGGAGUCUUGGACUAAAUAGAGAGAGAGCCAGACUAGCACCAUUCAUCUUCCUCAGCUUCCCGACUGUGAUCACGCUCCUGCCUGUUGGGGUUUAAAUCUCGGCCCGCGUCCAGACGGAACACACUAAACCAACAUGGUUCUACGUGGAAAGGUUUAAUGAGAGAAGAAGAGGAGAGGAGAGGAAAGGCCAGCCAUGAGCACAUGGAGGGAAGGGGGAGUGGGUGAAUAGGGAGAGAAGGGACAAAGGGGAGAAGGCAAGAGAGCAGAAAAGAGAGAGGACGAGCAAGAGCAAGAAGAGGAGGCAAGCAGCCCCUUUUAUAGUCAGGCAUACCUGGCUGUUACCAGGCAACUGUGGGGCGGAGCAUACCUGGCUGUUGCCAGGUAACUGUGGGGGUGGAGCUUAGACAGAAUACCAACACUACCAGCAUGCUUUACCCACUAGGAUGAACUGUAUCCCCCUCCAACUCUAAGCUGAAACAAGCCCCUUGUCCGGGGCCAGCGAGAUGCUGUUCUUGGGCAGGACAUGGGUACAGUCCCUAGCACUUACAUUGUGGCUAACACCCUACUGUAAAAUUCAAGUUCCAGGUAUCCAACGGGCUUCUUUUGACUUCUAUGGGCACCACAUGCCCGCAAUAAACAGACAUGGACAUACACGUGAGCAAGAACACUGGGCACACAUACAGUAAAAUAAAUAAAUCUAAAAAUAAGUAAAUAAACCAAGCCCCCUUCUUUUAUGCUGCUUUUUAAAAGUCAGGUUUUUAGUUACAGCACUAAGAAAAGUAACAGUUGAUCCUUUAGACCAGCACAGAAAGGAGACGGGCCCACCGAGCAUCCCAGGGGAACCACCAGGAGGGGUAACUAGAGCUCUGCCUGCAGUGUAAGGCAGUGUUCUGGGAAGGAGCUGGGGACCUCUGUACCUGUUUGGUUAAGGUGGCUUUCUUUGUGUGCACAUGAAUGAAGGCGGUUGGUAUUGGUGGUGUGAGGUCCUAGGAGGUCAGUGUGAGUCACUGCUCUGACUCCCAGUUCACAAUCAUCACUAUGCAAAUAAAAAAGGACCUUCCUGGUUGGUUAGUGUUCGGUCCUGGACAAAGGCUCUGGUUCCAGAGCACAGCUCUGCAGUGUCUGUCACAGUAGUUCCCUGUUCAUUUUUUUCUGAUUUCUUGUCAACGGCCUUCUCGCCAUGAACUGGAAAAGUUCAGGACAAUACUUAUUUCUGUGCCUUCAGCCUAAAAACCAACACAGACAAAGCUAGGGACUGAGGCUCCUUCCCCAUGCUCAGUUCCUUGAGGGCUUGUCCUAGUCAAGAGUGCUAUUCCCUGAUCAAAAGCAACCGGAGAGGAAAGGGUCUAUCUCGCAUCCAUGUUCACAGCAUAGUGUGUCAUCAGAGGAAGUCAGGGCAGGAAGCUGGAGGCAGGAGCUGAAGUGGGAGCCAAGAAAGACUGCUGUACUGGCUUUUCCCCUGUGGCUUUCUCAGGCUGCUUUCUUAAAGAACCCAGGACCACCAAUCCAGGAGUGGCCCCGCCUACAAUGGACUGGGCCAUCCACCAUCAAUCAUUAAUUAAGAAAAUGCCCGACAUGCCUUGCCCAUAGCCCAAUCUUAUGGAAGCAUUUUCUCAAUUAAGGUUCCCUCCUUUUAGAUGAUUUUUGUCAAGUUGACAUAAAAGUAACCAGGACAGGACCCAAGCAAGGAGUCAGUGCAUUUUAACAAAAGCAGCCUUUAAGUCUCUGUCUCCUAAUGAUAUAUUUGUAUGAAAAUGUCACAAUGAGACCCAUUGUUAUAUGCUAAUGUUGACACAGAAACAGCUUUCACCUCAAAGAGAAUAAGGGAUAGUUUAUUUUGGACUCAGCCAUGAGCGACCACACCCCAAAAGCACAGAUUCAUGUUCUCGCUAACACCAGGUCACAUCCCAAUGUAAAACAGAAUAGCCCCAGCCACAUUUUGCGUAACCUGGUAAAUUGCAGGAUCACUCAACAGACCCAGUUAUGGCUGAUACAUUUGAAAAUGAAAAGAAACAGCUACUCCAGAGGCUCUACAUCCCUGCCACCUCAAGAAGGCUGUAGAGAGAGCAGGAGCAAGGUAUCAUGCAGAGCCCUGUCCUUUCUGGUUCCUUCCCUGCCGUGUGUUCUCAGAUGAGAAGGCCUGAGGACAGUCUGAAACCACGGUCAUCUGGAAGCUACCAGGGCAUAGCAGAAAAGCUUCUGGGGAUGGGCAGACUUUCCACCCUCAUCAGAAAGACCUUGUCUGCAGAGAGCCAGCAGUGAGGAGACACUGGGGCCUGGGCACGUAUCUACCCCAUAGCAGGGUGUCUGGUCUAUUCUCAGCCAAGUCAGUGGCAGGUCUGUAAAUGUACCAGUAGAUGCUUUUUGAAGGGCUGGUGUCUGACAGAAACAGGUGACCUACCCCACUCCAGACUUAGGCCCUUGUCCAGGUGCUACUGUCUUCUUGGAGCCAUUCUGCCCACCUGGCUCUUAGCAGCCACCACCUCUUUCCCUGCCCAGGAUGUAGUCAGGCACUUCUGUUUGUCUCUGACUGUCUGAGCAGUUAGUAUUGGCUGAGGUGCACAGAGCAACCCGCCUAGAACUGCUUAUUUUCUGCCCUCAGAAAGGCUUUUGUGCAGGGGCAGAGCCUCAAGUCUGUUCCCAGGCACGCGGAGGUACAUGCAUGUAGAAUAUGUUAUGGGAUUUCAGAGAUUUCUGCAAGUCUGUCACCUCUAUAGUGAAUCUGGCAUCCUACGUAAGGUGGCUUCUUGGUAUUCUCUUACUAGCAGGAGAAGGAAGCAAGGGCUGACUUUAUAAAAAGAAAAUGUCGGUCAUCAAUAUAUUCUCCCUCAGGUUUAUCAUGGACAACUUAAAAGCAAACUAUGCAAAUGUGUCUGUGCUCUCAUUCAAAAGGAAACUGUUUGCUGUGUG